rnacentral:snRNA from 1 species
GUGCUCGCUUUGGCAGCACAUACACUGAAAUUGAAACGAUACAGAGAAGAUUAGCAUGGCCCCUGUGCAAGGAUGACAUGCAAAUUCAUGAAGCGUUCCACAUUAAA